UGCCAGCCGCCGCGGUAAUACGGAAGGUGCAAGCGUUAUCCGGAUUCACUGGGUUUAAAGGGUGCGUAGGCGGGUAGGUAAGUCAGAGGUGAAAUCCUGGAGCUUAACUCCAGAACUGCCUUUGAUACUAUCUAUCUUGAAUAUGGUGGAGGUAAGCGGAAUAUGUCAUGUAGCGGUGAAAUGCAUAGAUAUGACAUAGAACACCUAUUGCGAAGGCAGCUUACUACGCCUAUAUUGACGCUGAGGCACGAAAGCGUGGGGAUCAAACAGGAUUAGAUA
rnacentral:rRNA from 1 species